rnacentral:misc_RNA from 1 species
UGUGGGAGCGGGCUUGCUCGCGAUGCAGGCUCCCCGGUUUGUCAGGCAUAUUGAGGUGAUGCCAUCGCGAGCAAGCCCGCUCCCACA